rnacentral:rRNA from 1 species
GACGAACGCUGGCGGCGUGCUUAACACAUGCAAGUCGAGCGGUAAGGCCCUUUCGGGGUACGACGAGCGGCGAACGGGUGAGUAACACGUGGGUGACCUGCCCUCAGCUCUGGGAUAAGCCUGGGAAACCGGGUCUAAUACUGGAUAUGACUCCAUGACGCAUGUUGUGGGGUGGAAAGCCUUGUGCGGCUGAGGAUGGCCCGCGGCCUAUCAGCUUGUUGGUGGGGUGAUGGCCUACCAAGGCGACGACGGGUAGCCGGCCUCGAGAGGGCGACCGGCCACACUGGGACUGAGACACGGCCCAGACUCCUACGGGAGG